rnacentral:rRNA from 1 species
CGUAUGGGGCGAGCGUUGUUCGGAAUUAUUGGGCGUAAAGGGUGUGCAGGCGGUUAUGUAAGUCUGACGUGAAAGACUCGAGCUUAACCCGAGGAACGCGUUGGAAACUGUGUGACUAGAGUUCUGGAGGGGUAGCUGGAAUUCCAGGUGUAGGGGUGAAAUCUGUAGAUAUCUGGAAGAACAUCAGUGGCGAAGGCGAGCUACUAGCCAAGGACUGACGCUGAGACACGAAAGCGUGGGGAGCAAACAGGAUUAGAUACCCUGGUAGUCCACGCUGUAAACUAUGUACACUAGGUGUUGGGGAGUAGUCUUCAGCGCCGUAGCUAACGCGCUAAGUGUACCGCCUGGGGAGUAUGCUCGCAAGAGUG